rnacentral:lncRNA from 1 species
UAGGAUCUCAUCCAAGAUAUCACGCUACUUAUCGCAGUUAGAGUUUCUCAAAAUUUCCUUGUUUUCGAUGGCCUUGACAGUUUUGAGGAGUACUGGAACAAACUUGGAGCAGAAUUGUUGAGUCAUACGAUGGGCACACAUUUAAUUUUAAAAGAAACUCCCUGUUUUCCA